GGUUAAAUAGCAUAAUAGGUAGUGCGGAAAAUUGCAAAUUUUUUGGUAAGGGUUCAAGUCCCUUUUUAACUU
rnacentral:tRNA from 1 species